rnacentral:rRNA from 1 species
UGGAGAGUUUGAUCCUGGCUCAGAACGCUGGCGGCGUGCUUAACACAUGCAAGUCGAACGCUGAAGCNCAGCUUGNUGGGUGGAUGAGUGGCGAACGGGUGAGUAACACGUGAGUAACCUGCCCUCUUCUUUGGGAUAACGCCCGGAAACGGGUGCUAAUACUGGAUAUUCACUGNCCUUCGCAUGGGGGUUGGUGGAAAGGUUUGUUCUGGUGGGGGAUGGGCUCGCGGCCUAUCAGCUUGUUGGUGGGGUGAUGGCCUACCAAGGCUUUGACGGGUAGCCGGCCUGAGAGGGUGACCGGUCACAUUGGGACUGAGAUACGGCCCAGACUCCUACGGGAGGCAGCAGUGGGGAAUAUUGCACAAUGGGCGAAAGCCUGAUGCAGCGACGCCGCGUGAGGGAUGGAGGCCUUCGGGUUGUAAACCUCUUUCGCUCAUGGUCAAGCCGCAACUGUGGGUUGUGGUGAGGGUAGUGGGUAAAGAAGCACCCGC